rnacentral:lncRNA from 1 species
GCUUGCUUUGCAAGUGCAAGGACCCGAGUUCCAUCCCCAGUACCCCCCACCCCUGAAAAAGUGCCAGGUUCCAUUUCCUGUUGAAGACCCACCGGAGCCCCUCACCUACAUCACAGUUUGCAAUGGGCCCAGAAUUCCACUAUUCAGAAGCCUCUCAAGUGUUUUCGAUCGAGGUCUUCAGACUGAUCACAUUUCGAA